UUUAGAGCAAAGAUUGAAUAUGUACCUUUAACUCUGCCCCUCUGUAUCAUUUCAGUAGACUUUUGUGUGUCAGCAUCCUGUACCUGAGCUACAGUACUCUUUACUACGACAGGCAAACUGCAGUUACCUGCAACGUUUGUGCACGUGUAGCACCUUCGCCUUUGGAGAGAUCAAAGAGUGGUGACUUCUGAGCAGCCCGUUUUACAGAUGGCCACAAGGCAAACGAGCCACUGGUACCAGGACUCGGGGCCGCUCCGUGAAAUAGCCUGUGCCUCCUCUGGGGCUCUUACAGAAGCAGUUUCCUCCAGUUUACAGGCUGCAAGCAAUCUGGUGGCCAUCAACACCUUGCUGAUAAACUGGAAAUCUUCGCCUUCUUCCAUCCUCACCUCUCAAACGACCCAUGAAAGAGUCUCGGAGAUCAAAGAAAUCCCCUUCCAUCCUUAUCCUUCUGACAGAGAGACUGAUGGGAUUUAGCACCCAUGUGGGAAUAUGAGCAUUGGCUUUAUCUUGAAUUUAUGUUAGCAAACUCAGCAACCUGGGGGCUCUUCACAGCACCUUAAGCAGACUGAAGUGGAGCUGAUGAAUAAUCAGUGAUGGAACAGCUGUUAUCCAGAGAUAACAGAGGACUUCAGGCUGCAGAUGUGCAUGGGGUCAAGGGAGACAAUGUUGUGCAUGAAAAAGUCAUACAAUGGAGUUCUGUGUAUUUUCUUCAGAGUUGAAGAACAAAGAGGCAACGACCUUUUGUCUGCUGCUGUCAUUCCCUGCUUCACCAUUAAGGUAGUUUUCUUCCCCCCCCCCGCCCAAUGGCAAGCAUUUUGAAAUAGACCCCUGUCAAUCAUGCCCUGAAAAAAUGAGCCCAUCCAUGAGCAGAAUCCUUUUUAGAAGUUUAAAUAGUCUGAAUGUCAAAACAUGUGGUGGUCAGGUUAACGCAGCGCUUUGGAUACCUGUGAUUUGGAUAUAUUUGUUUCAACGGCAGGUUCAUUUUUAAUCAGCGAGCAUGCCAGGUUUCAAAGGGCAAAUAAAAAAUACAAGAAAAACAAGACCAUACUUAUGGGUUCAGUAAAGAUCUUUCCAACCUGGUAUCCAGCCUCCAACAGCGGUCAACAGCGGUGUGUAAGAACAGGCUAGCAAAGAGAGACAAUUCUUUUUGUGUAUCCUGAGAGGUGGUAGGCUGUGAUUUAAGAUCUUUUGAGUUGAGGUUGUAUCUAUGUCUUUGUGUUGAAUUGUAUUUAUGGAGUAUUCUAAAUAGAUUUGUCUUGAUUUUUGAUUUUUUUUAUUUGUUUGGAGUUUUUUGGUGGGGUUUUUUGUUUGGGGUUUUUUUUUGUUGUUGUUGUUUUUUGUUAAUCAAUCCAGAGUUUCAUAAUUGGUACUUUAUAGGAAGAGGUACUUCCUCUGUUUGUUUUGAACUUGUCAUCAGAUCAUUUCAGGCGAAGCCCAUUAAUAUUUGUAUUGUGAGAAAUAGCGCAUAACCGUUCCCUUGAUGCCUCUCCAUAUCCGUCACAAUGUUGCCUGUUGCUCUUGUUCCUCAGUUAGAGUCUUCAUCUGCUUAAUCUCUCCUUCCUCAGAAAUCACGUCCUGCGUUUAAGCAUCUUUGCACAGUAUGUCACCUGGCUUCCAGCAAGCUUAGAGCAAGCGCUGUGCUGCACCGCCGUCCUGCAGCGCGUGCCGAGCUCGCCUCGGCCGUGCCGGGUCCCCGGCCUCCGGAGGGGAGCAGGCGGCUCCUCCCAGGCCCCGCUGCGGAGGUGCCCGAACCUCUGAGGCACUGCCAUGCCGGGGGAA